rnacentral:rRNA from 1 species
AUUGAACGCUGGCGGCAGGCCUAACACAUGCAAGUCGAGCGAGUGGCGGACGGGUGAGUAAUGUCUGGGAAACUGCCUUAUGGAGGGGGCUAACUACUGAACGCGGUCGCUAAUCCCGCAUACCCGCAGGUGUCCCCAGAUGGGAUUAGCUUGUGGGUGGGGUAACGGCUCACCAAGGCGACGCUCCCUAGCUGGUCUGAGAGGAUGACCAGCCACACUGGGACUGAGACACGGCCCAGACUCCUACGGGAGGCAGCAGUGGGGAAUAUUGCACAAUGGGCGCAAGCCUGAUGCAGCCAUGCCGCGUGUAUGAAGAAGGCCCUCGGGUUGUAAAGUACUUUCAGUGGGGAGGCGUUACCGGCAGAAGAAGCACCGGCUAACUCCGUGCCAGCAGCCGCGGUAAUUC